GCCCAUGGAUCAGCGGUAUAGAUCGUCCGUCUGCGUUUAAAAGCGUAGCCGGAAGGACGGGGGUUCGAAUCCCCUUCUGGGCC